UACGUAGGGCGCGAGCGUUAUCCGGAAUUAUUGGGCGUAAAGAGCUCGUAGGCGGUUUGUCGCGUCUGCCGUGAAAGUCCGGGGCUCAACUCCGGAUCUGCGGUGGGUACGGGCAGACUAGAGUGAUGUAGGGGAGACUGGAAUUCCUGGUGUAGCGGUGAAAUGCGCAGAUAUCAGGAGGAACACCGAUGGCGAAGGCAGGUCUCUGGGCAUUAACUGACGCUGAGGAGCGAAAGCGUGGGGAGCGAACAGG
rnacentral:rRNA from 1 species